GACAAAGGUGCUGCACACAGGGCCAUGCCCAACCAGCAGGCUCUCAGAGGACUCUUGAGGUGGAAAUGAAAACAGGGUCCCACUCUGUGGCCUAAGCUGGAGUGCAGUGGCAGUAUCAGGGCCCGCUACAUCCUUGACCUCCUGGGCUCAAACAAUCUCUCAUCUCAGCCUCCCAAGUAGCUGGCACUAUAGACAAAUCUCAUUGUGGUGAAUAGGAAUGAGGCCAACGGCAAGAUCUGGAGAUGGAAGAAGCUCCUGAAGAUGUUGAAACCCCUGGUCCCAGCUGUUCUGUGGGCCAGCUGGAUUCCUGCCCUUCUAUAGCUGUAUUGCUCAAUCCUUUCCUGGGAUCUGGGAGAAAAUAAAUUUCAUUUUUGGCCCA
rnacentral:lncRNA from 1 species